GCCAGGUGUGGUGGCGGGCGCCUGUAGUCCCAGCUACUUGGGAGGCUGAGGCAGAAGAAUCGUUUGAACCCGGGAGGCAGAGGUUGCAGUGAGCCAAGAUUGUGCCACUGCACUCCCACCUGGGUGACAGAGCGAGACUCCGCCUCAG
rnacentral:SRP_RNA from 1 species